UAUUUUAGUCUAGUUGGAGGAACCUGUUUUAUAAACGAUACACCACGUAAAAUUUUUCUUAUUCUUGUAAAGUUAGUAUACCUUCAUUAUUAGAUAAUAUUGAGAGAUAUUGUUGGAAUCAAAGUUUUUGAGUAUAUUAGAUCACGGUGCUGCCUAUGAAUAAGUAUAAAUGGGUUACAAUAAAAAUUUAUUUAGACGGAGCUAGGAGUUAAAUUCCUAGUGAAGGGGGAUUCAAUUGUAAUCUAGAAUUUAGUAAGGCUAGAUGGUAAUAGCUCUAGAAUGUGUACAUAU
rnacentral:rRNA from 1 species